UAAAAGGGUACGGUCUUUUUUUUUUUUUUUUUAGUUUUAUUCAUUUCAAACAGGCCGGAUCAGGCCUGCGGGCCGUAGUUUGCCCACGGCUGGCCUAGACAGUGCUGCAGCGAGCUCCUAGGGAGGGACUUAGUGAAGGGCCGAGCUCCUAGGGAGGGACUUAGUGAAGGGCCGCUCGGCCCGCCCCUCACCUGGGGAGGCGGGGUGUUCCCAGGUUCCUGGCUCAGGAAGCAGUCUUUGUGCCCAUGAUUCAGCCAGAGGUGGCCUGUGCUGCUCCUUCCCCCCCAGCCCCCCACUUGCUGUCUUCAUUGUGAUGGAAAGGAGGCGUGGGCAUUAGAAAGGAAAACCUCUGCCCUCCAGCUUGGGAGUGAGGGGGCUUCCAGCUCUUAAAGCUGUUUUCCCAGUUUAGAGUUGAAGUGGCUUCAGUGGGUGCCUGGCCUUUCUCAUGCAGAAGUGCCCUUUCCCUUCAGUGUGUUCACAUUCUGCCCUGUGCCAAAACGCUAAGGUAAUUUCUGAGAUUACCUUGGCUCUCUGGGAAUACACAGCCUCUGCCACUAAAUAUUUUAACAGGGUCAGAACUUACUGAAUAUACUGAUACAUUUUCCAUCCCUCCCACCAAUUGAGGAGGAUACAGGGGAUCUAUUUUCUGUUUCCCACCCCCUUUACCCCCCUCAGCAUGGGCUGAUGGUCAGCUCAGACUUGCCCAGUGGCCGUGAGGAGUGCUGGCCGGGUUAGCCAUCUGUCAUCACUCCAAGGCCCAGUGAGUCUGUCUGUACUUCCAUCCAUCAGCUCGGCGUGUUGACUGCAUCACUGUGCAGUUGUUGAGGCUCCUGAGAUGAGCAGACACGAGGUGAGGUCAGGGUUCCUGAUGAAGACCGUGGGCGAGAGGAAAACGGAGGCCAGCUGUGCAGGGCCUUCCUGGUGGCGGAACUCGGUUUAACUCCAGAAGCAGUGGGGGUUUUGACUCUCAGGAGGAGGCCUUCUGUGUGGUCAUUGCAGCUGCGUGUGGGAGGCAGGAGGCGGCGGUGGAGAAGGUAGACCAUUGGAGGGGCCCCGGUGAGAGUGAUGGCAAGGGCCAGGGUGGUGGUGGUGGUGCAGAGGGAGAGUGGGCACAGGUGGGAGGUAAACUCGCUGGACCUGGUGAUGGAUGGAUGUGCAGGGGCCAAGGGCGGUGCCGGCUGACUUGUGGGGUCUGGCUUGCGUAACUGGCUGGCUGGUGGUGCCAUUCGGGAGAUAAGGAACCUGGAGAAGGACCAGGUGUGGGAGGGGAGGUGGAGGGUUUGGUUUGUACAGGCUGUUAAUACACUUGGGACUGUGAUUGAUGAAAGAGGUCCUUGCCUUCUUUCAUAAUCAUAACCACUACCUCCCAAAAGAUGUGCACAUACCGACUUCAGCUGCAGUGUGGGUUUAAUCCACGUAAGCCAGAAGGACCCAGCAGUAUCUUACAUGUCUCCACACACGCAGUUAGAAGUUCGGGUGCGAGCUCUUAGACUUCGGUGUGGCUGACCGUGUGGAGGCAGAGCCCCGGCCCGCACAGCGCUGCCGGGGGCCCCUCUCCGCGGCCCCGUAGGGCCCGGCACCUGUGCUUUCCAGAAGCUCCCAGGUGGUUUGAUGCCCCCAGAGUUUGGGAACCGCUGAUUUCAUCAGAAAAGGGCAGCGUUCUGUAUCCCUUUCUCUUGGACCCAAACAGGGCAGUGAAGCCCUGAGAUGGGUGGUACUGGUGGGUGUGUGGGCAGACCCAGGGGUCCCGGCGCGCAGUGGGAGCAGCGAAGCCCAGCGUGGUGUCUGGUGUCCGGUGUCCGUUCAGGCCGACACUGUCACGGGUGGAUGUGGAAGUUUGUUUUACAAACUUCAGUGUAACCUGUGGCUAAGACUUAAGGAUUUCCCUUCCCAAGUUGCUAUCAAUCAGGUAGUUUAUCAAUAGACCUUCCAAGGAAAACAGCCGUGUGAAAUGUUUGGGUUAUUUUCUCUAACGCAGCAAUUUUCAACCUUUUUCAUUUCAUGGCACACAUAAGCUAAUUACUAAAAUUCUAUGGCAUGCUAAAAAAUGUAUUUUUGGCCAAUAUGACAAAAAAUAGGUAUACUGUAGAUUUAUUCACACCAGGUGGCUAUUGUUGUGUUGGCUGUUGCCAUUUUUUAAUUUGGCAAUCUACGAGAAAAGGUCAGUGCCCCUGGUUAGAGUCAGGGGUUGCAUGUUUUAAAAAGGCUUGCCGCUCACGAGUAGCUAUGGCCCACACCUGUUGAAAUCGCUUCUCUUCAUCUCUAUAUCUUCCAGUUGUCAGAAUUCCCGUGUGGUUCACAUGGAUCCUUCCUUGUUCCUGAAGCCCUGUUCUAUGUCGUUUGGUGCUAGGUGCUGGGGCUAUAAAAAUACAGAAGACAGGCUUUGCCUUUAAGGGGUUCUCAGUCUAACAAGGUAGUCAGAUAGGUAAACCAAGAAUGGCAGGACAGGGUGGCCAGUGUGGAAAAAGGUGAAUACCUAAGAAGUUUAAAGUGUGCCCUGGAGAGCCAGGAGGCCUCCCAGCUGGUGAGGUGCUUAGUUGGGUGUUGAGGGAUGCCUAGGAGCUCACCAGUGCACAAGGGCAGAAAGGCAUUGAGGUAGUAGCAGUGGUCAGUUCUGUUUUUCUUUGAUUAUGAAUCGCAUUCCCUUUGUUUUUUAACACCUUAAGGAUUAAUGGUAUUGCUGUUUCAAAGGAAAUGAAAACUGCAUUAACAUAAUUAUCUUUUUAAUCUAAUGAGAACCAACUGCCUGUUCGGCUAAGUCAGAAAAAAAGAAUGCCUGUCCUGAGAAAUGACAGUUUAAACUUUGAAAGCAAAAUGAAAAUUCUGAUCUUGGCCUAACUGUUAUUGAUAAACUGAGGAACAGAUACCACCUGAGGGCAAACUGCAAUAGCCAAACAUAUCAGCUUUUGCUUACCUUUGGUUAAGUUUGAAGUCACUUUCCAUAUGCUAAUUUUCUUUUCUAUUUUAAACCGAGAGGUCUUUAAGACUGUCUGUAUUUUUAAAAAUUGCCAUAACAGAUAUUGUAAAUAAUUGUUUUUACUCGAGGAGGGGGAAGGCAGAGGCUGAGUCUGACUGUGUGGCCUGGAUUUUAUGGACUCCCAGAGAGAAAUAGUUUUUAUGUUUUUAAAAGUUGUUUAAAACAACAAGAACAAUAAUAUGCAACAGAUACCAAAUAUAGCCUGCACAGCCCCAAAUAUUUAUCUGGCCCUUUAUAGAAAAAAAUUGCCAACUUCUGCUUUAGGACAAAAAUAAUUAUUGUUUAGCAUUUCAUGUACCUUCUAUAUGUUUUAUGCCUGAGUUAAUAAUUUUUGGAAGCAGAUUCACUUCACUGUUUCUAAUUUAAAAAGAAAGAAAGAAAGAAAGAAAGAAAGAAAUCACAGGCUCUGAGCCUGGACACACACUGGGCAAGCUCUCGCAGGGCUGGCAGGUGGUGCUGAGGCCGGACGGAAGCAGGUGUUCUGGUGGCCUUGCUUCUGUAGGGGAAGUGACAGCCUCCCGUGCCCUGGCUGACCACUGUACAAUGACAGGUGGGCAUGUGCUAAAAGAAAGCCGUUUGUGCCUGAUAUUUGAGUUGGAAGGUGAAUGUUACAUAAAUGAGUGGCCUUUUUAUCACUGACAAUUUAGAGUGAACUUUGGACCUACCAUAGUGUAUGAAUUUCUGACUAGAGAUGGUUUCAUAUCAAUCCCUAAUUUAGAUCACUCUAUCUAAAAUAGGGCCCCUCACUGUCCACCCUGUACCCCGCUUUAUUUUACUUCAUAGAACUUAUUUCUACCUGUAACAAUGUUAGAUACUUGUUUCUUUGCCUCUGUCUUUUCUGACUGCGACAGCGAAAAGUAUAGUGCUUUGUGUGUAGCGAGGGGGGAGCGUUAUCUGCUCCAGAACAAACUUUAAAUUCUUGCCUUUUUGGCAGAUGAGUAGAGGGAGGGAGACUGACCAAGUGGGGAGACAUGCUGCCUCUUAGGGGUGCCGGUGGGCGAGCGUCUCCGCCUCCCUGGGCCCUGCUUCCUCUUCUGGGAUGUCCUCUGAGGUUCUGAUGAGACCCACGGGACAGGGACAGGGACGCUCCUGGCCCGUGUCUGGCACUCUCUCCUGUCACCACAGAGGGCAGAGUAAAUGCACAGCUCGACCUGUCACCACGACAUUCUAAUCUGAUGGGAUAAACCGUCGUUUCUCAGGACAGGCGUUCUUCUUUCUGACCUCGCCUAACAGGCAGUAGUAGGUUUCACCCUUCCCUUUGUCCUUUCGUCGCCCUAGUGGACAUCCCACAUCCCUGCAUGCGCUCAUUCGGCAGAUAGGGUGCCUCCUGUGCGCCCGUUUGGGGCCUGAGAUGCUCAGGCAGCUGAGACAGUGCCCGGAGGGGGAGGGAGGGCCGCUGCUGUCGGCCCCCAUCCUGCUGGGCCGCAGGGAGGGGCCUUUGUUCUUCCUCUCACUCCUCGGCGGGUAAAGAGCGAAACCAGUGACUUCCCAGUGGGCAGAGCGUGACGCUUUUGCCUGUUUUUGUUUCUGGCCCGUCCCUCUCACAUCGGACAGGGAGCCCAGGGGAUCUUUCUCCCAGGACGUGCUUCCAUGGGUUUGUGGGGAGCACGUCGUCUCUGCUGGGUCCCGUGGGCUCCGUCACUGCUCAGGCAUCGGUUCAGGGCCCUUGUUCCUUUUGGGAGAGUAUUUGCCAUGGCUGCGUCUGCAGAUUUCUGUAGAGUCGUCUUAGCAGGAUGGCCAGCCUGUUCCUUAUGCUUUUUGAGAGCAAACUGAUAAAAGCUUAGGAUAUAAAUAUUAGCUGAGAACCGCCUCGAUGAAAAUGUUGUGUGUGUCAGUACAGUAUUGUUACUCGAUGUUUCAUGGCCUUGGUUAAAUAAUUACGGAUGUUGCUUGUGGUUGAAGUAUCUGCUUGCAUAACACAUUGCUAUUUGGGUGAGACUCUAAGUGGGACUUAGGUGGGGAGACGGACAGGGUGGGGAACAUCUGAUGUUUAUUAUUAAGAAACUGGCCAAACAGGGCAGUUUGGAAAUGCAGGUGAUGGCACGGCUGCGCAGUGCAUUCCGUGACCUGAACGAGUCCACUGAGAAAGGUAUUUUGGAGGCAGUGGGGGACAUUGAAUACGGACUAAAUUUAAAUGUUAAGGACAGUUUUGAAUUAGGUUGGAAAUAGUGGAGGUGUGUGUCCGUUCGGGCCGCAUGCUGGUGUUUCACAAGUGAAGUCUGUGUGACGGCCUUAGAAUACGCCAGUGACGUUGCUUUAAGGUGAUAGAAAGUAGGUGAGUAAGGAUGCCGGAAGUCAGUGGCGUCAGGCUGCGUGGAGAACACAUGGGGCUCCUUAAACUGUUUCCAAAUUUCCAAAAUGAAGUUUGUUCCCUAAAAGCACAUAAGGGUGGAAGGGAAAGAUGCUGUCCCGUUUCCAAGUGGCCAAAUGCUGAAGUCUGGGAGGGCAGGCACGGCUCCUUCCCCUGGGGCUGGCCCGCCCCGCCCCCCGCACUCCCGCCCGACUGUGUCCGGGGUCCCUGGAGUGGAGCCAGGCUUUCUGGGGAGACCUUUUGUGUCCUGGUCAGUGAGGGGCUGCUUUCAUUCCACCUGGGCCACCACCCCCCCGCCCCCCCCCACACACCUUUUACUAAAGGAGAUCUGGUCGGACUGUGACAAAGUAUAAGUUAAACGGGGCUGUGUGUGUUUUAACAGCAUAAGUCAGAUGUGCAAGGUGGCUUAGAAGCUUGUGUUUGACGAAGUCUGCUUGUUCGAGCAGGUUUGUGAGCUGGCUGAGCGGGCCUUCUCCCCACCGCAGGCGCGCAGCACACAGAGUUCUUGUUGCAGGCCAGUCCCUCACUCGUGUUCCCACGAUCUCGGGGUGGGGGAGGGGGAGUGCUGUGACCCAGCUGGAAAUAGGUCAUUAUCUCAAUAGCCGCCUUCUCAGAGCUGAGAUUCUGCGGUGGCAGGCUAGACGAUCCGUGUGCAGCCUGCGGGUGGCUGGGCCGUCACAGGACCAGAGCUGCGGGGCGGGCGGGGAUGGCCGUACCCGCACACGAGGUCUUGGUGCCAUCAAGAAGUACAUACACAGUUUUAAUCCCAUCCGCAUGUAGCAGACUUGACUGUGACAAAGUAUAAAUUAAACAGGGGUGUGUGUGUCUUAACUAUCAAUUCAGAUAUACAGGUGGUUAAAAGCGUGUUUUACUGAAGUCUGCUUAUUCCAGCAGGUUUUGUAAGCUUGCUGAUUUAGUGUGGGUCUCACUCCCCAUUUUUGAUAGAUGGGGAGUAAAGUAAAGCAAAAGUAAAGACUUCUCGCUCAAGUUCAGAUACAUCUAGUCUAAGCUUCUUACAGGAGAAAUGUUCUUUCACUGCAGACUAUUUCUGCACAUGUGAUCUUAACGAGGGGCAAAGAUUUAUAUCAGAAAUGGCACGAGAGUUAAGCAUGGUUUAUUUUAUAAAUCCUUUCCUAAAACAACAGGUUAGCAGAGCAGUUACCUUGUUUUGGCCUCCCUCCCUCCACCCACACACACUCACACUCGUUAGAAAGGAAGGACUCUUGACAGACUUCUAAAUUUACAAAGAAAACAGUCCAUUCCAGGUGGGGAGUGAAGUGUAGUCUGUCUUUAAUUUCCUGUUUUAUUAGCCUAGAAUGAAAAACCAUUGUAGCAUGAGGUCGUCAUGCCGGCCCUGUCCGGUACUUGGUCUUUUCUGGGAUCCUAAGCUUGUGGAUAGAAUUACCCUCACUUUUCAGUGAACUAAAUUGGGGCUGAAGUAUGUAUGACCCAGCUAGUAAACCUGAAAUCAGUGUUACAGAAUCGAGACUUGAAGCUUAUUAGAUAAAGUGACCUUGAAGCAGAUUAUCUGUGUUUCUGAAAGGGAAUAGUUUUGCAGAACAUAACGUUCUUUGAUGAUUCCUUUUCCCUUUCCUCUGUGAAGUGGUGUCUGAGGUUCUAGUUUAGCCUGUGUGGCUCACUGGUUGGAGCGCCAUCCCAUGCACUGUAGGGUCGCAGGCUCCAUUUCUGGUCAGGCCACUUACACCAGUUCGAUCCCCUGUGGGAUCCCCUACGGGAAGCAACGUCCUCACAUCGAUAUUUUUCUCUCCCUCUCCCUUCCUCUCUUAAAAAAAUCAGUAAAAUUACACAGUGUGGCCAUUCCCAGUGUAGAAGUCCGUUUCCUCCCCGCACAGCAGCCCCUGAGCCCGAGCAGCACACGCUGCUCCCGCACGGCUCCUGGGGAGGGAGCUGAGAACGCGCCUCCGGCUCUAAGGCCGAGAUUUCCCUGUUACCAUGAGUGCAGAGGGACUGGUUUGUCCGCCCUGGGCAUUGCUGCAAGCCUGGGCUGACAGGAAGUGGGGCCGGGGGCAGGAAGUGGCUGACAUUCAGAGGCAGAAAGAGCUGUUGAGAAAGAUUGGGGAUUUCAUUACAAGUUCUUGACAUUUGUGGGCUGAAUGUUGGUAGAUGUGGGCACUUCCCUCUUAUGCAUAAUUUUACCUAAGUUUUCACCCUGGAAUUUGGAAAUACAGACAUUUCAAAAGUGUAAAACCAUUGACUAUUGAGAGAUACAACCUUAGGAAUAAUGUUUCAGAGCUAUACGAAUAUAAAUUUUUUAGAAGCUGUUUAGAAGAUUACCAGAAGUUGAGGAAGUUGUGUAAGCCUUUCUGGGCCUCAGUUUCCCCCGUGUUUAAAAGAAGGGGUUCAGGCCAGGGUAGCUUGACGCCUCUCACCCAGCAAUCCCAUUUAGCCACCCUAGCACCUUGUCACUGUUUCCUUGCUCCACUUGGAACACAUUAUUAACCAUAAAAGCGAGGGUGUAAUGGGUGUAACGAUGUUGGUUACAUUUUUAUUGGCCUCUCUGUUCUUACAAUGUUAAAGAACCAUCUGAAACAAGUGGUUUGGAAAUUCCAAGGCCCGGCUUUCAUGUUGACACUCUGUCCUGUUAUCGGCUGCAUAUUAAGAAUUGAGCUUUUAAGUUGUAAGCUUAGCUCAGAAAGGAGGUAAGGGUGCGUAGAGUUAAUUUUCAUGAUUAAGUUACCCUCAGAAUUCCUUAAAGUGCUAUGGAAUUCUCUGCGAAAUGAGGCCAGUGCUCUCCGGAUAAGAGGCGCACCCACCCCGUUCCCCCGAGUUAAAGUUUACACUCACACUUCCUAAAACUAAAUAAAUAAGGGCUGUGCUUAAACUGAACCCAGAAACCCGACUAGACAACCACCUGGUUCGAGCCCAGUGGCUCAUGUGAACCUGAACUCGAUUUUCGUCGAGAAACCGCAGGAAGUCUGGUGUUAAGAGCUAGAGCUUAGACAUGUAUCUCUGGAAUUUCUAACUCUGAGGCCAACCUGCUGUGGGCACAUGGUGACGUGUGGCUGCUGCUGGUGGCGGGAGCGGUUGCCGGACGAGCCGUGCUGGUGUCUUGGCCGGUGCAAGAUCGUGUUAGUGUGGACUUCACUGCAUUUAAUGAAAAAUUGUGUGUUAGAACCACAUUCCCAUUUUACUUGUCUUCUCUGUACAAUAGUUUGGGUAUUUUGAUAAAUACCUUCCAUUAGCAACAUACUGGUUUUAUUUUGGCCUCUCUGUCCUUAAAAGAAUUGUGUCCUACAGGGUGGUUUGUGGUCGGCCUUUCUUGAGUAGAAGAUGGAUGCUUCUAACUGUUUGCUAGUAACUAUAACAAUGUAAAAAAUGGCCACUGGGUUUUCAGUGUUCACUACUUUCCUAUCACCUGUUUGUGUAAACAGUGCUGCUGGGGGCAGCAUUGCACACUUAACGAGAGUCUCAUUCUGUAAAAUAGAUAGAAACGAAGCUAUCCCUUAAAUAGCAGCUAUGACUGUGACACCCGAGAAAGGGUGGGUGAUACGGAAAAGAGCUGAAAAGCAGACCUUGGCUUUGGGGCUUCUGGCCUCGACUUUGCCUUCGGGGGCUGGAGCUGCGGGGCCCCUUCCGCAGGGCGGUGGGCUUUCCAGUCGGGGUCGUUCACAGGUCGGUGCUUGUGGGCCAGCAUUUGUGAAGUGACCACUGUGUGACUUAGUGAGAGUGUUGUUCGUAGAGGCUGGUUCUUAUCUUUCUCAAAAGUGAGGCGCUUAGGAUCCAGAGAGAGCGCUGAUAGGGACCCAUCCGUUGGAUACAGAUUUCAUUAAGGAGCUCAGGUCUGCACGCCAUCCCUGUGUGGGACACCUGAGUGCGAUGCCUUCUCCGAUGCUGCCUUGUCCCAGGGCAGUGCUGUCCGGGUGUGGUCUCACUGUGACCUGGGAGAGCGGUAGAUUCCUGGGCCGCAUUCCAACCCCCUGAGUCAGGAUCUCGGCCUGGGGCCCGGGAGCUGUUUGAGCCGGCUCUGCGGGUGACUCUGCACGUUCCCGUCGGGCAGCAUGGGCGGCGCUGCCAUCUUCCGAGGCCUUUCCCCAGGGACCGUCUGAGACAGGUGAACGGCUGACGUGUGCAGGUGAUCAGGGAGAGAUUUGGGGGUUUUGCUACUCGGACUGAGCACCGUGCUUGGCACCACAAAAUGUAAAGCGGAAGACUCCGUCAGCCCCCUUAGAACGUGCGGAGAGAACCCGACCCAGGCCUGCUUCUCCCCUCUGCUCCCGGGCCGUGCCCUCGCCCUCGUGUGAGGAGGGAAGUCGCUAGAAUCCGGGACGACUAACAUUGCUUCUGGCGGCAGGAGAGCAGGCUGGGCGGUGGUGUGUUCACAUGAGUUUGGCAGCUGGGGCCUCUUCCUGAGAACACAGACUAUUUUCAUUUACAACUUAAACACAGUGAACUUACAUUGCAUUUUAGUUUUUACAAAUUUACUUUCUUUCAUCAUUGUUUCCCCCCUAAUUUUUUCCUUACCAAUGUGACCAUAGGUAGUCCAGUUCAACGUAGAUAGACACACGUGACCUACCCAGACAGUGGAAUAUUAGUUGGCAGAAAAAAGGACUGGAGCCCUGACAUGCUAGGGCACGGAUGAGUCGGGAAGACAUGCUCAGUGACAGAAGCACGUCACCAAGACCCCAUUCUAUUCAUAGAAACUGUCCAGAGUAGGGAGUCUGUGGAGACGGAAGUGGACUGUGGGUGCCAGGUAGGCGGGGGGAGGAGCAGGAGGGACUGCUGAGGGCCACGGGUUUCUCCCGGGUGACGGAAUGUUCUAAAAUUAGGUCGUGGUGUGGUUGUGUAACUCGGCGAAUAUGCUAAAAAGCCACUGAAUUGCUUACUUUAAACGGGCAAAUAUUAUGGUUGUAAGUUAUACUUCAAGAAGGCUGUAAUUUUAAAAGUACUCAACAUGAAGAUGAAAAUACAAUAUUGCCCGUGUAAUUUUUCAAUUAAGUGACCCAAACAGGCAUCCGCGAUGCUCUCUCACUCGGUGGCUGUCCGCGGGGAGAGCGGCUCCUUGCUGGGCUCCCUGCUCCUUCCCCAGCUGGGGAGCGGGCGGCCGGACCUGCUUCCUAUCAGCCUUUCUACGUAUCUGAAAGGCCUUCGCCAAAUAUUUGAAAGCUGUUCGAAGUUGCUGAGGUGGCGCCUUCGGAAGAGGCUGGAAUGUGGGGAAACAGCGCUGACAUUUUAAGUGAUUGUGAAGGUCAGGCUCCCAGUGCAAUCGCCCUGGUGCUGGGCAGCUCCACUCCUCACUUUUGAGCAAAUGCAGGUGUGAUAGUACAGGGAUUAACCUUAUCACUCAGGCCACGGCCUGAAAGCCAAACAUUCAGAGGGGACCACGUGCAUUUCCCUCAUUUUCAUGGUCCUGGUUUUGAAUGAGCGCACAGAGCAACCCCGCGGCUGGCACGCCGCCGGCGCCGUAAGGAGACGGGAGCGGCCGCUUGUCUGGGAGGUUUGGGGCAGAACUCGCCGGAGCCUUCCCCGCCUGUCUUGGUCUUUAGUUCUGUGAAAGGUCUGCCAGGAGAGGUCAUCUCAACCCAAGAGAAAGCAUGUCAGGAGGAAGUGGGCACUUCCCAAAGGCAAUAUUGCCAAAUAUUUAUCUACCAAAAUGAGAAUGAUAAAGGGCGAUCAUUUGACAACCAACAGUUCAGCCUCUGCCUGGGUUAGAAGUAAAAGGUACUUCCAGGUCCCUCCGUGUGUUCUCCUACAGGCUCCGGGGAGGUUUUAACAAGUGAACCUGGGAGACUCAUGUUUUUCAGAGAGUGCUCGGGAAGGACUGGUGCUUGGGCAUUGUCCACGGAAAAGAAACCUGGGAAGCAGACUGGGGCCCGCCCUGGGAUUUCACAAUUUGCAUUAACAGCAAAGACACUCAAAAGCCUUUCAGUUAAAGAAAGAAAAAAGAAGCGCAGCCUUAACUUCUGUGACCUCGAAAUGCCGCUGCGUCCCCUCCCCCGAGCAUCACCGCUCUGGCCCCCCCUUUACCGUCAGAGAUUUUGCAGAGAACUCAGCUGCUGACUUGGCUCAGAAGGCACUCAGAUACUGUUUGACUUACAGGAUGUUAAAGGGGAAGAUCCCUGACAGAUACUCUUGGUUCUACACUGCGGCCUGCCCGGCAGGGGUUGGCUGGGAGGCCCAGGUCUGUCUGUCUCAUGAGUGCUCAGUUAGAGGGAGUGAGCAGAGAGGACAGUGGGUUUAUUUUGUUUAGUGGGGUGAAUUGUUA